rnacentral:rRNA from 1 species
CAUGUUGCCAGCACGUAAUGGUGGGGACUCAUGGGAGACUGCCGGGGUCAACUCGGAGGAAGGUGGGGACGACGUCAAAUCAUCAUGCCCCUUAUGUCUUGGGCUUCACGCAUGCUACAAUGGCCGGUACAAUGGGUUGCGAUACUGUGAGGUGGAGCUAAUCCCAAAAAGCCGGUCUCAGUUCGGAUUGGGGUCUGCAACUCGACCCCAUGAAGUCGGAGUCGCUAGUAAUCGCAGAUCAGCAACGCUGCGGUGAAUACGUUCCCGGGCCUUGUACACACCGCCCGUCAAGUCACGAAAGUCGGUAACACCCGAAGCCGGUGGCCUAACCCUUGUGGGGGGAGCCGUCGAAGGUGGACCAGC